CCCGAGUUGGUGUAACGGUAGCAUGUCCGGAUGAGGACGGGUAGGUCCUGAACCUACUUGCCCCUUCGGGGGAGUCGGAAGACCCAGGUUCAAACCCUGGACUUGGGG